rnacentral:rRNA from 1 species
UACAGAGGGGCAAGGCGUUAUUCGGAAUUAUUGGGCGUAAAGGGCGCGUAGGCGGCUUUGCAAGUGACGGGUGAAAUCCCUCGGCUUAAACCGAGGAACUGCCUGUCAGACUGUAAGGCUUGAGACCGGGAGAGGUGAGUGGAAUUCCCAGUGUAGCGGUGAAAAUGCGUAGAUAUUGGGAGGAACACCAGUCGGCGAAGGCGGACUCGACUGG